rnacentral:rRNA from 1 species
GUUGUUGGGUAGGGGAGCGUUCUGUAAGCCUGUGAAGGUGGCCUGUGAGGGUUGCUGGAGGUAUCAGAAGUGCGAAUGCUGACAUAAGUAACGAUAAAGCGGGUGAAAAGCCCGCUCGCCGGAAGACCAAGGGUUCCUGUCCAACGUUAAUCGGGGCAGGGUGAGUCGACCCCUAAGGCGAGGCCGAAAGGCGUAGUCGAUGGGAAACAGGUUAAUAUUCCUGUACUUGGUGUUACUGCGAAGGGGGGACGGAGAAGGCUAUGUUGGCCGGGCGACGGUUGUCCCGGUUUAAGCGUGUAGGUGUGUGUUCCAGGUAAAUCCGGUUCACUUUAACACUGAGGCGUGAUGACGAGGCACUACGGUGCUGAAGCAACAAAUGCCCUGCUUCCAGGAAAAGCCUCUAAGCAUCAGGUAACAUCAAAUCGUACCCCAAACCGACACAGGUGGUCAGGUAGAGAAUACCAAGGCGCUUGAGAGAACUCGGGUGAAGGAACUAGGCAAAAUGGUGCCGUAACUUCGGGAGAAGGCACGCUGACACGUAGGUGAAGUGAUUUACUCAUGGAGCUGAAGUCAGUCGAAGAUACCAGCUGGCUGCAACUGUUUAUUAAAAACACAGCACUGUGCAAACACGAAAGUGGACGUAUACGGUGUGACGCCUGCCCGGUGCCGGAAGGUUAAUUGAUGGGGUCAGCGCAAGCGAAGCUCCUGAUCGAAGCCCCGGUAAACGGCGGCCGUAACUAUAACGGUCCUAAGGUAGCGAAAUUCCUUGUCGGGUAAGUUCCGACCUGCACGAAUGGCGUAAUGAUGGCCAGGCUGUCUCCACCCGAGACUCAGUGAAAUUGAACUCGCUGUGAAGAUGCAGUGUACCCGCGGCAAGACGGAAAGACCCCGUGAACCUUUACUAUAGCUUGACACUGAACAUUGAGCCUUGAUGUGUAGGAUAGGUGGGAGGCUUUGAAGCGUGGACGCCAGUCUGCGUGGAGCCGACCUUGAAAUACCACCCUUUAAUGUUUGAUGUUCUAACGUGGACCCGUAAUCCGGGUUGCGGACAGUGUCUGGUGGGUAGUUUGACUGGGGCGGUCUCCUCCUAAAGAGUAACGGAGGAGCACGAAGGUUGGCUAAUCCUGGUCGGACAUCAGGAGGUUAGUGCAAUGGCAUAAGCCAGCUUGACUGCGAGCGUGACGGCGCGAGCAGGUGCGAAAGCAGGUCAUAGUGAUCCGGUGGUUCUGAAUGGAAGGGCCAUCGCUCAACGGAUAAAAGGUACUCCGGGGAUAACAGGCUGAUACCGCCCAAGAGUUCAUAUCGACGGCGGUGUUUGGCACCUCGAUGUCGGCUCAUCACAUCCUGGGGCUGAAGUAGGUCCCAAGGGUAUGGCUGUUCGCCAUUUAAAGUGGUACGCGAGCUGGGUUUAGAACGUCGUGAGACAGUUCGGUCCCUAUCUGCCGUGGGCGCUGGAGAACUGAGGGGGGCUGCUCCUAGUACGAGAGGACCGGAGUGGACGCAUCACUGGUGUUCGGGUUGUCAUGCCAAUGGCACUGCCCGGUAGCUAAAUGCGGAAGAGAUAAGUGCUGAAAGCAUCUAAGCACGAAACUUGCCCCGAGAUGAGUUCUCCCUGAGACUUAGAGUCUCCUGAAGGAACGUUGAAGACGACGACGUUGAUAGGCCGGGUGUGUAAGCGCAGCGAUGCGUUGAGCUAACCGGUACUAAUGAACCGUGAGGCUUAACCUUAC